CAGUCGCCGCGGUAAUACGGAGGGUGCAAGCGUUAUCCGGAUUUAUUGGGUUUAAAGGGUCCGUAGGCGGAUCUGUAAGUCAGUGGUGAAAUCUCACAGCUUAACUGUGAAACUGCCAUUGAUACUGCAGGUCUUGAGUAAAUUUGAAGUGGCUGGAAUAAGUAGUGUAGCGGUGAAAUGCAUAGAUAUUACUUAGAACACCAAUUGCGAAGGCAGGUCACUAAGAUUUAACUGACGCUGAUGGACGAAAGCGUGGGGAGCGAACAGGAUUAGAUACCCGUGUAGUUCCUGUCUCUUAUAC
rnacentral:rRNA from 1 species